CUCCACCGCUUGUGUGAGCCCCCGUCAAUUCCUUUGAGUUUCAGCCUUGCGACCAUACUCCCCAGGCGGAACACUUAACGCUUUCGCUACGAGAAAGAAGGCCGAAACCCCCUUCCUCCAGUGUUCAGUGUUUACGGCUAGGAUUACCGGGGUAUCUAAUCCCGUUCACUCCCCUAGCUUUCGUGCCUCAGCGUCAGAAAAGGCCCAGUAUGCCGCUUUCGCUGCUGGCGUUCCUUCCGAUCUCUACACAUUUCACCGCUCCACCGGAAGUUCCACAUACCCCUACCUCACUCAAGUUAUCCAGUAUCACGCGCAGUUUUCCGGUUGAGCCGGAAGAUUUCACACGUGACUUAGAUAACCGCCUACGCACCCUUUAAGCCCAGUGAUUCCGAAUAACGUUCGCACAGUUCGUAUUACCGCGGCUGCUGGCACGAACUUAGCCCGUGCUUCCUCUGAGGCUCUGUCAAAUACAAGAGAUAGCUCUCGUAUACUUCAUCCCCUCUGACAGCGGUUUACA
rnacentral:rRNA from 1 species